rnacentral:rRNA from 1 species
UACAGAGGGUGCAAGCGUUGUUCGGAAUUAUUGGGCGUAAAGCGCGUGUAGGCGGCAUUGCAAGUCGGGUGUGAAAGCCCUCAGCUCAACUGAGGAAGUGCGCCCGAAACUGCUUUGCUUGAGUGCCAGAGAGGGUGGCGGAAUUCCCCAAGUAGAGGUGAAAUUCGUAGAUAUGGGGAGGAACACCGGUGGCGAAGGCGGCCACCUGGAUGGUAACUGACGCUGAGACGCGAAAGCGUGGGUAGCAAACAGGAUUAGAUACCCUGGUAGUCCACGCCGUAAACGAUGAGAACUAGGUGUCGUGGGUGUUGACCCCCGCGGUGCCGUCGCUAACGCAUUAAGUUCUCCGCCUGGGAAGUACGGCCGCAAGGCUAAA